rnacentral:rRNA from 1 species
AGUGAACGCUAGUGGCGUGCUUAACACAUGCAAGUCGAACGGACGAUAUUUGUGCUUGCACAAAUAAAGUUAGUGGCAAACGGGUGAGUAAUACAUGAGAAUUUUCCUUGCAGUACGGAAUAACUAUUGGAAACAGUAGCUAAUACCGUAUAUUGCCGAGAGGUGAAAGAUUUAUCGCUGCAAGAUAAGCCCAUGCAAGAUUAGCUUGUUGGUAAGGUAAUGGCUUACCAAGGCUACGAUCUUUAGCUGGUUUGAGAGGAUGAUCAGCCACACUGGAACUUAGACACGGUCCAGACUCCUACGGGAGGCAGCAGUGGGGAAUAUUGGACAAUGGGCGAAAGCCUGAUCCAGCCAUGCCGCGUGUGUGAAGAAGGUCUUCGGAUUGUAAAGCACUUUAAGUUGGGAGGAAGGGCAGUAAAUUAAUACUUUGCUGUUUUGACGUUACCGACAGAAUAAGCACCGGCUAACUCUGUGCCAGCCGCCGCCGUAAAAC